rnacentral:rRNA from 1 species
CGUAGGUGGCAAGCGUUGUCCGGAUUUAUUGGGUUUAAAGGGUGCGUAGGCGGUUCCAUAAGUCAGUGGUGAAAUACAAUAGCUUAACUAUUGAGGUGCCAUUGAUACUGCGGAACUUGAGUACAGACGAGGUAGGCGGAAUUGACGGUGUAGCGGUGAAAUGCUUAGAUAUCGUCAAGAACACCGAUAGCGAAGGCAGCUUACUAGACUGUAACUGACGCUGAGGCACGAAAGUGUGGGGAUCAAACAGGAUUAGAUACCCUGGUAGUCCACACUGUAAACGAUGAUUACUCGAUGUUGGCGAUACACAGCCAGCGUCUUAGCAAAAGCGAUAAGUAAUCCACCUGGGGAGUACGCCGGCAACGGUAG